GCAACCCUAGGUCAGUGGGAUUACCCGCUGAGUUUAAGCAUAUCAAUAAGCGGAGGAAAAGAAACUCAUAAGGAUUCCCUUAGUAACGGUGAGCGAACCGGGAAAUGCCCAGCUUGAGAAUCGGGAGCCUACGGCGUCUGAAUUGUAGUCUGGAGAAGCGUCCUCAGCGGCAGACCGAGCUCAAUUCCCCUGUAAGGGGGUGUCGGAGAGGGUGAGAGCCCUGUCGCGCUCGGACCCUGUCGCACCACGAGGCGCUGUCUACGAGUCAGGUUGUUUGGGAAUGCAGCCCAAAUCGGGCGGUAAAUUCCGUCCAAGGCUAAAUAUUGGUGAAAGACCGAUAGCAAACAAGUACCGCGAGGGAAAGAUGAAAAGGACUUUGAGAAAAGAGUCAAAGAGUACUUGAAAUUAUCGGGAGGGAAGCGGAUGGGGGCCGGCGGUGCACCCCGGUCGGAUGUGGAACGGCAAUGAGCUGGUCUGCCAAUCGACUCGGGGCGUGGACCGACGCGGAUUGGGGCAGCGUCGCAAGCCUGGGCCUUUGUUGUGCUCGCGGAGACGUCGUCGCCCCGAUCGUCGCUAACAGCGAGCGCCCGUGGCUUGCUCAGGCAUCAGCGCGCUCCAGGCGUUGGCCUGUAGUCUCCCCAUUCGGCCCAUCUUGAAACACGGACCAAGGAGUCUGACAUGUGUGCAAGUCAACCGGCCAGAAAACCCGUGAGGCGCAAGGAAGCUGAGUGGCGGGAUCCCCUUGAGGGUUGCACCGCUGACCGACCUUGAUCUUCUGAGAAGGGUUUGAGUGUGGGCAUGCCUGUCGGGACCCGAAAGAUGGUGAACUAUGCCUGACCGGGGCAAAGCCAAAGGAAACUCUGGUGGAGGCCUGCAGCGAUACUGACGUGCAAAUCGUUCGUCUAACUUGGGUAUAGUGGCGAAAGACUAAUCGAACCAUCCAGUAGCUGGUUCCCUCCGAAGUUUCCCUCAGGAUAGCUGGAGCCCAUGGGCGAGUUCUAUCGGGUAAAGCCAAUGAUUAGAGGCAUCGGGGCGCAACGCCCUUGACCUAUUCUCAAACUUUAAAUAGGUAGGACGGCACGGGUACUUUGUUGAGCCGCGCCACGGAAUCGAGAGCUCCAAGUGGGCCAUUUUUGGUAAGCACAACUGGCGAUGCGGGAUAAACCAAAAGCCGGGUUACAGUGCCCAACUGCGCGCUAACCUAGAACCCACUAAGGAGUGUGUAACAACUCACCUGCCGAAUCAACUAGCCCCAAAAAUGGAUGGCGCUGAAGCGCGCAACCUAUACCCUGCCGUCAGGGCAAGUACCAUGCCCCGAUGAGUAGGAGGGCGCGGCGGUUGCUGCAAAACCUGGGGCGCGAGCCCGGUCGGAGCGGCCGUCAGUGCAGAUCUUGGUGGUAGUAGAAAAUAUUCAAAUGAGAACUUUAAAGGCCGAAGAGGGGAAAGGUUCCAUGUAAACAGCACUUGCACAUGGGCAUCGAACAGUCGACUCAGAACUAGUACGGACAAGGGGAAUCCGACUGUUUAAUUAAAACAAAGCAUUGCGAUGGUCCUUGCAGAUGCUCAUGCAAUGUGAUUUCUGCCAAGUGCUUUGAAUGUCCAAGUGAAGAAAUUCAACCAAGCGCAGGUAAACGGCGGGAGUAACUAUGCCUCUCUUAAGGUAGCCAAAUGCCUCGUCAUCUAAUUAGUGACGCGCAUGAAUGGAUUAACGAGAUUCCCACUAUCCCUGUCUACUAUCAUAGCAACGUUGCUUUUUGAUCCUUCGAUGUCGGCUCUUCCCAUCAUUGUGAAGCAGAAUUCACCAAGUGUUGGAUUGUUCACCCACCAAUAGGGAACGUGAGCUGGGUUUAGACCGUCGUGAGACAGGUUAGCUUUACCCUACUGAUGAUAGCGUCGCAAUAGUAAUUCAACCUAGUACGAGAGAAACCGUUGAUUCGCACAAUUGGUCAUUGUGCUUGGUUGAAAAGCCAGUGCCGUGAAGCUACCGUGUGCUGGAUUAUGACUGAACACCUCUAAGUCAUAAUCCGGGCUAGAAGCAACGCAUGCGCCCGCCGCCCGAUCGCCUACCAGCUGUAGGGGCCCUCGGCCCCCAAGGGCAUGGUGUGCCUAAUGCCGCCGGUGCGUGCGAAAGGCCGACGGUGAGGGUCCGAAUGGGUGUGAUAGGGCGUGCGAGGGAAAGACUCAGGCCUUUCUGGGUUUGGUGGAGGAUUGGUCGGUAACGUGUGGAUUUGUGGAAGAUUGGUGGUGAGAAAUUAUGGGAAGGCUUGGGUGGAUUGUGUAAUGGUUCGAUAGGUGUUGGGUGAUGGCUCGGGGAAGGUACGUUUUGGCGAAGGAGGAGGGAAGUGGUCAAGGGGGUUGAGCGAUCGGAACACUCGAGCGAUUGAGGGUGUUUCGGUCGGUAGGCCUUGAAGGUGGCUCGGAUGUUACGCACUGAGGUCAACAAGGGGUGAUGCUCACUUGGCCGGAUGUGACUCACCGGAGAAGAGAGAUCGGAUGAGGGAUUUUGACAAUAAGGCCCUAAGCACUUUGAUUAUCAAAUUUUCACUGCAAUACAAUGAGGCGGACUAGCCUUUUUAUAGACGAAAAUAACUAAGGAAAGUAAACUAAUGAGAAAACAAGGUCGUCGGAUGGUGAUCCGUGUGUAUUGAUCCAUUGGUGAUCCGUGGGGUGCGUGAUCCGUGAAGUAUGCCAUCGGUUAAAGUCUAGCAGCGUGGAUGGCGUCAAAUCCGGGAUGAACUUGGCCGGGGAGACGGGAUGGUGCUCGGCAAAAUGCUGCGCGCGGGAGCCAUGUGGCGGAGCGCCAG
rnacentral:rRNA from 1 species